UCCCUGUUGGUCUAGUGGUUAGGAUUCCGGGCUUUCACUGCUGUGGCCCAGGUUCAAUCCCUAGUCAGGGAA
rnacentral:tRNA from 1 species